rnacentral:lncRNA from 1 species
GAAGAGGGCCCUAUUGUGCAGAAGCCAGAGAAAGUGUGAACUCUGGAGGAGCUAGAAGAGCUAGGUAAGGAGAGAGCCUUUCAAAUAAGGAGCACCCUACACCUUCAGAAGAAGGGGAGCAGGUGAGGAGGAACCCACAGAAUCACACCAAGGGGACGAACAAGAAGGAACAAAUGAUCAGUCUACAGAACCUCCUGACUACAAGAACUCCUUCUGUGACGUCACUGGCGCUUCCAACAACAGUAGAGGAGUUGGUGAGCAAGAGCCA